rnacentral:rRNA from 1 species
AUGCCGGUGGCUGCUCAGUGGGCGGCUGAGGGUAGUAUGCCUGUGGCUGCUGCUCGGUGGGCGGCUGAGGAUGAUAUGCUUGUGGCUGCUCAGCGGGCGGCGGCGGUGACUCCUUCCCCUUCCCCUUUGAUUUUGAUUUCUUUUUGCGACUGUUGCUCGGCGGUGGCCCGGCCAUCUCUUCCGGCUUGCCGUCGCCCAUGA